rnacentral:lncRNA from 13 species
AUGUUGUCCCCGGAGGAGAGAGAUAUAUCCCACUGUGUUCUGGGAAUGGGAUGUUGUCUCUGGAGGAAAAAAAUAUAUCACGCUGUAUUGUGGGACUGGGAUGUUGUCCCUGGAGGAAAGAGAUAUAUACCACUGUAUUGUGGGAAUGGGAAGUUGUCCCUGGAGGAAAGAGAUAUUUCCCACUGUAUGAUGCGAAUGGGAUGUUGUUCCUGUAGGAAAGAGGUACAUCCCACUGUGUUCUGGGAAUGGGAUGUUGUCCCUGGAGGAAACAGAUAUAGCCCACUCUAUUCUGGGAAUGGGAUGUUGUCCCUGGAGGAAAUAGAUAUAUCCCAGUGUAUUCUUGGGAUGGGAUGUUGUCCCUGGAGGAAAGAGAUAUAUCCCACUGUAUUCUGGGAAUGGGAUGUUGUCCCUGGAGGAAAGAGAUCAAUACCACUGUAUUGUGGGAAUGGGAUGUUGUCCCUGGAGGAAAGAGAUAUAUCCCACUGUAUUCUGGGAAAGGGAUGUUGUCCCUGGAGGAAAGAGAUUAAUCCCACUGUAUUGUGGGAAUGGGAUGUUGUCCCUGGAGGAAAGAGAUAUAUCCCACUGUAUUGUCGGAAUGGGAUGUUGUCCCUGGAGGAAGGAGAUGUAUCCCACUGUAUUCUGGAAAUGGGAUGUUGUCCCUGGAUGACACAGAUAUAUCCCACUGUAUUGUGGGAAUGGAAUGUUGUCCCUGGAGGAAAGAGAUAUAUCCCAAUCUGUUCUGGGAAUGGGAUUUUGUCCCUGGAGGAAAGAGAUAUAUCCCACUGUGUUCUGGGAAUGGGAUUUUGUCCCUGGAGGAAAGAGAUCUAUCCCACUGUAUUCUGGGAAUGGGAUGUUGUCCCUGGAGGAAAGAGAUAUAUCCCACUGUAUUGUGGGAAUUGGAUGAUGUCCCUGGAGGAAGUAGAUAUUUCCCAUUGUAUAGUGGGAAUGGGAUGUUGUCCUUGGAGGAAACAGAUAUAUCCCACUGUGUUCUGGGAAUGGGAUGUUGUUCCUGGAGGAAAGAGAUGUAUCCCACUGUAUUCAGCGAAUGGGAUGUUGUUCCUGGAGGAAAGAGAUCUAUCCCACUGUGUUCUGGGAAUGGGAUAAUGGGAUGUUGUCCCUGGAGGAAAGAUAUAUAUCCCAAGGUACUGUGGGAAUGGGAUGUUGUCCCUGGAUGAAAGAGAUAUAUCCCACUGUGUUCUGGGAAUGGGAUGUUGUCCCCGGAGGAGAGAGAUAUAUCCCACUGUGUUCUGGGAAUGGGAUGUUGUCUCUGUAGGAAAAAAAUAUAUCACGCUGUAUUGUGGGACUGGGAUUUUGUCCCUGGAGGAAAGAGAUAUAUACCACUGUAUUGUGGGAAUGGGAAGUUGUCCCUGGAGGAAAGAGAUAUAUCCCACUGUAUGCUGCGAAUGGGAUGUUGUUCCUGUAGGAAAGAGGUACAUCCCACUGUGUUCUGGGAAUGGGA